AGGAUAGUACUUUAGUCAAAUUUUAUUUUGUCCGCGUACAAUCUGCCUGUCUACCUGGUCAGUUAGUUUAUUAUAAGAAAUAAAUAGAUACUAGCCAAUAGUUUAUGUAUGCUUAUAUCCUUCGUACAGUGGGGUGCGACGAGGAAGGAUAAAAAAAUUGCUUCAUCCUUUAUCGAUAGCUACAUCACCCCGAAAACCGUCAGAUUAUAUGUUGUUCGUGACAGAACAGCGCCGAAAAAUCGCCGCCCACGGUUACUGUCAAUGCCUGAGGGCUCGCGAGUGCGUUGCCACUUGCCAGUCUUUUAAGAGUUGGUAUGCUCUUUUUCUUUGAAGCAUUCUAAGUGGAGUGGUGGUGGGACAAAAACUGCUUUAAUUAAAAACGCUCGAAUGAUGGAUGUCGAGGUGAUACUGGUAGAAUUUUUGAUAUGAUAAAAGAAAGCUCCACUGAGAUGAAACAAUGCCAGCCUUUAUAGUAGUAUUUUUUACUUUUGAACGGCAAAGAAACACAGGCGGGAGAUAAUUCUUUACCUUAACAUAAUAUCUAUAAUAUGCCAUAUGAGCGACUUGUUCCAAGGAUUUUCAUCAACCGAUCCCAUGAAUUACAUUAUACUUUCGCUGGGGUUGGGUGUCAACAUAAUACAGUUCUUUUUUGAUAUUAUUUUACUGGUCGGUCUUCAUAAGGGGAGCACUGCAUUACUAGAAGCCUACUACGAGUGCAACUUAUGUAUGCUUAUAACACAAAUGGUAAUUGCUGGAUUGUAUAUUCCUCUACAGGCGUAUAGAUCAUAUCCUACAAUGAAGAAUUACGUUUGGUUAUUAUUUAUUAUAAUGAUUUUUUGCGGUGCCCUUGUUAUUGUGUGUCAAUUCUACUUAACGUCCCUGGUUAAAAGUCAGUUACGAGCUAUGAAGAGACCAGUCGUUAGGGAAGAAGAAGUAUGAUUCUGGCAGUUUAUAGAAAAAUUCAACUGGACAGGAACGUAUUCUUGUGAAGCGUAGACACAUGCUGUGAUACACUGGAAAGAGGUUCGAAACAAAAGAAGAAAGCCUUUUUUUUUAAUCUAGUUACAGAAUGAGUUAGAGUCUUGGUAAUUAAUCCAUAAACUUAUGCCACGCGUGUGUUAAAAUCGUAUCAUUUCAUAUACGAUAGCAGUAAUUAUUUCAGUAAGAGUAAGAGAAGAAUUGUAUUCUCAUCGAUUCAUAAAUGGUUAGGUCAGUUUAUAUUUCUUAUUUAAGUUUAAGUGAAUGCUUAUCAUGGUCAUCAUGGCCAUAACUCUUCGGUUAUGAUCACACUAGUCCUAAAUAGACUUUAAAACGGGAAGACAAAACGGCACCUCCAUAUUGUGUAAUGCAAUUUGUAAUAUGUUAAUAAAAUAUUGAAACAUUU